AAGUUAACUAGUUGCUCUGAUAAUGAAGAACCAUUAGUUGCCUGAACAGAAUAUGAUUCUGUGCCAAGACGAAAUGUGGCAUUCGCCUGAGAUCUAGGAAGCACUGCAUCACAUGAUUCUGUUUCCAUCUCUGCAUUUUGAAUGAUUAAAGAAACAAAAUAGACAGUUAAGUGCUUCAUUAUUUAAAAGUAGCAUUGAUUACUGAUGUAUGAUGAUACUAAUCAAAGACAACGGAACAAUUAACAAACUGGAAAUUAUUAGCUCAAAAAAAUUUCAAAACUAACCACAGGUGGCAGUGUUAGAGGUUUACUCAGAUGGAAGUAGUUGUUCUCAGUUUCAUACUGUAAAGUUUUAUUUGGAGUUUAACAGGAAAGGGAGGGGAACUAUAAAGCAUUGACAGAGACACGGAUAACGGACACGGCACUGACAUAUGUCAGACACUGACACAUGCCGAAUACCGGACACUCCUUCGGUCUGAAGUGUCAGUGAUACAUAGUUGGGGAGGGCUUUAAGGAUAAACUAAAGAGAAAAGGGGAAGGGAAAAUAGUCCUCCACUUAACAUGGAGGCAUAUCUUUUCAUAAGAGGAACUUGUUGAGGAAGGACUUUGGAGGGUUUUAAAGGGUUUUGAAUAAAUUUUCAAAUCCAACUCUUCUUUUUAUAAUAAUACUCUAAAACCAAAUAAAGUGAAACACUUUCCUCCCUUUUUCUUCCUGCCCUUCCCUCCAAAGCCCUCUGAUUCCAUAUUUCAGUUGAGACAAAGCCGUUUAUGACUCCAAAUCAAGCUGAACAAUGGCUCAAUUUGGACUACUUUCAAACUAAUGAGGGCUCUUCAACUGAGAAAGCCAGAAAGGUAUUUGUUUCUUAACUAACGAAAAAUGCUUCUGAAAAAUUUCAUAGCUACAUUAGAACCAAAUUUUUUCACAGUGCUGCUUGUUUAUAAGUGGUUAUUGAAAACUUUAAGCUAUUGCUACUCAGAAGGCUGACUCAACCCAAUAUUCUAAAUCACUAUAACCAAACAAACAAAUGAAGGAAUUAAGUCCAAAGAAUAAACCAUUAAGCGUAAAUGCCUAUCAUAUAAUUGUUUGUGUAUAAAGAAUUUCUGUUACAAAGGACAAAAUAAAUUCAAUAUGCUUUCAUUUCAUAUAAGCUAUAAGUUGUUUGUGUAAGCUAUCCUAAAGAACUUAUUGAAAAUUUCCAUAAUAAAAACAACUUAUAGACUAUGAAGUACAUACAUUCCUAAGAUUAGGUGUGUCCUAGUGUCGGACGUGUGUCGCAGUGUCUAACACCGACACACAUGAUUUCAAUGAUUAUGUCAAUUUCACAAAUUAUUAUCGUUGUCAACAUGUCAGUGUUCAUGUUGUGUCCGGCGUCUGUGUUUGUGCUUCAUAGCUUAUAGACAUAUCAUAAGUUGUUUCUAUAAGGUCUCUCAAACAGUCUCACAGGUGGUUAUGUCAGUGUACAAACUCAAAUAAAUCGAUCCAAAUAGCUCUAGGUUGAAUCAAUUAACUAACUAUAUAGAAACCUAUGAAGCAUGGACACGGACACAAACACUAACAUCGAACAUGCCACAUCGACAUCGAUGAUAAUUUAAGAAAAUGACAUAAUUCAAUGGAAUUAUGUGUCGGUGUCCGACAUGCCUAAUCCUAGGAAUGUAAAGUCAACUGUCCAAAUGUUAAACUAAACUGAACCCAAUAUUCUAAAGCAUAUCCUAAUACCAAAAACACACAGAGACAUUUCAUCAAACAGUUAAUAUCUUCAGAUAGUAAUAACAAAAACAACAAUAACGUCUUACAAAUUUCAACUAACUGAAACAACCAAAGACAGUGAUUGAAUGAAUAUAACAAAAGCACACAUAAUUGAACAGAAAACUCAUUGAGUGAAGAAAAUCAAAAGGUUUUUCCGUUUACCUUGUUGACCCAGAAGACCAGAGUGAAGCAGCUUAAAAACGACACGAUUCAGCUACCGUUUUGCGGCAGUCACAGAAUUCAAUUUAAUACAAG
rnacentral:lncRNA from 1 species